AUUGAACGCUGGCGGCAGGCCUAACACAUGCAAGUCGAACGGUAACAGGAAGACGCUUGCUUCUUUGCUGACGAGUGGCGGACGGGUGAGUAAUGUCUGGGAAACUGCCUGAUGGAGGGGGAUAACUACUGGAAACGGUAGCUAAUACCGCAUAACGUCGCAAGACCAAAGAGGGGGACCUUCGGGCCUCUUGCCAUCGGAUGUGCCCAGAUGGGAUUGGCUAGUAGGUGGGGUAACGGCUCACCUAGGCGACGAGCCCUAGCUGGUCUGAGAGGAUGACCAGCCACACUGGAACUGAGACACGAUCCAGACUCCUGCGGGAGGCAGCAGUGGGGAAUAUUGCACAAUGGGCGCAAGCCUGAUGCAGCCAUGCCGCGUGUAUGAAGAAGGCCUUCGGGUUGUAAAGUACUUUCAGCGGGGAGGAAGGGAGUAAAGUUAAUACCUAUGCUCAUUGACGUUACCCGCAGAAGAAGCACCGGCUAACUCCGUG
rnacentral:rRNA from 1 species